rnacentral:rRNA from 1 species
GAAGCUGAGAAUUUAAGCCCCAGUAAACGGCGGUGGUAACUAUAACCAUCCUAAGGUAGCGAAAUUCCUUGUCGGGUAAGUUCCGACCUGCACGAAUGGAGUAACGACUUCCCUACUGUCUCAACCAUGAACUCGGCGAAAUUGCAGUACGAGUAAAGAUGCUCGUUUCGCGCAGCAGGACGGAAAGACCCCGUGACCUUUACUAUAGUUUGGUAUUGGUGUUUGGUUUGGCUUGUGUAGGAUAGGUGGGAGACUGUGAAGCAUGGACGCUAGUUUGUGUGGAGUCGUUGUUGAAAUACCACUCUGGUCAAUCUGGAUGUCUAACUUCGGGCCAUGAUCUGGUUCAGGGACAGUGCCUGAUGGGUAGUUUAACUGGGGCGGUUGCCUCCUAAAGUGUAACGGAGGCGCCCAAAGGUUCCCUCAGCCUGGUUGGCAAUCAGGUGUUGAGUGUAAGUGCACAAGGGAGCUUGACUGUGAGACUGGCAGGUCGAGCAGGGACGAAAGUCGGGACUAGUGAUCCGGCGGUACGUUGUGGAACGGCCGUCGCUCAACGGAUAAAAGGUACCUCGGGGAUAACAGGCUGAUCUUGCCCAAGAGUCCAUAUCGACGGCAUGGUUUGGCACCUCGAUGUCGGCUCGUCGCAUCCUGGGGCUGGAGUCGGUCCCAAGGGUUGGGCUGUUCGCCCAUUAAAGCGGUACGCGAGCUGGGUUCAGAACGUCGUGAGACAGUUCGGUCCCUAUCCGCUGCGCGCGUUGGAAAUUUGAGAAAGGCUGUCCUUAGUACGAGAGGACCGGGACGGACGAACCUCUGGUAUGUCAGUUGUACCGCCAGGUGCAUGGCUGAUUGGCUACGUUCGGGAGGGAUAACCGCUGAAAGCAUCUAAGCGGGAAGCCUGUUUCGAGAUGAGAUUUCCUGGCACUUUGGUGUGUGAGGCUCCUUAUAGAUGAUGAGGUUGAUAGGCCGGGUAUGGAAGCGGGGACUGAAGACUCGUGGAGUUGACUGGUACUAAUAGGCUGAAGGCUUACUUUU